rnacentral:lncRNA from 1 species
CUGAGGUAUUGGAACCACCUCAGUCUGAUGGCCUCCUUGUUUAAUUAACAAGUAGGAGCAAUGGAAGAUGAGAGUGCUGUGAUUUUAGAAAGUGCUUGCUUCUACUUGCCAAGAGUGUGACUUGAGACAGAUUACUGAGCGCAAGCUGUGUUCCCAGGUUCCUGGUCCCCUCCCUUAGGAAGCUCACCAUCUGGUGAGAGGAAGAUAACACUGCACUGUAACUAGCGUGCAGAGGGCACUUGUGCAGUCCAGAUGAGCGGGCCUAACGAGGACUUCACAGGACGGGUACCCAGCUCUGCUUGGAAGAGAGGGGCAGACAGGAGUGUAUUCCAAGUAGAAGUUGCAUUUUGGCACUCUGGGGGAAAGCACGCAAUUCAACAAAAAGAUAUAAAAAGAGAAGACGCUGAGAAAGAACUCUCCAGGAGAAGGAGUCAAAGAUCUUGUAGUGCUGAGGAGAUCAAAAGGAGAGAAGCUCUCGAGAAGGAAGUGCCGUGUCUAAUCCCACAGAAAGUGUGGGGACGCAGCAAGAAGAUUGCCGUCUGCAAACUGGUAAGAGGAAUUUCAACAGGACUCAACCCUGUUGGCACUCUCAUCUUGGACUUUACAGCCUAUAGAACUGUGAGAAAUAAAUUUCUAUUGAUUAAGCCA